CCUACGGGUGGCAGCAGUGGGGAAUAUUGGACAAUGGGGGGAACCCUGAUCCAGCCAUGCCGCGUGUGUGAGGAAGGCCCUCGGGUUGUAAAGCACUUUCAGUGAGGAAGAACGCCUGGUGGUUAAUACCCAUCAGGAAAGACAUCACUCACAGAAGAAGCACCGGCUAACUCCGUGCCAGCAGCCGCGGUAAUACGGAGGGUGCGAGCGUUAAUCGGAAUUACUGGGCGUAAAGCGCGCGUAGGUGGCUUGAUAAGCCGGUUGUGAAAGCCCCGGGCUCAACCUGGGAACGGCAUCCGGAACUGUCAAGCUAGAGUGCAGGAGAGGAAGGUAGAAUUCCCGGUGUAGCGGUGAAAUGCGUAGAGAUCGGGAGGAAUACCAGUGGCGAAGGCGGCCUUCUGGACUGACACUGACACUGAGGUGCGAAAGCGUGGGUAGCAAACAGGAUUAGAUACCCGGGUAGUC
rnacentral:rRNA from 1 species